ACGAACGCUGGCGGCAUGCCUCACCCAUGCCAGUCGAACGAGACCUUCGGGUCUAGUGGCGCACGGGUGCGUCACGCGUGGGAACCUGCCCUUAGGUUCGGAAUAACUCCCCGAAAGGGGUGCUAAUACCGGAUAAUGUCUUCGGACCAAAGAUUUAUCGCCUUUGGAUGGGCCCGCGUUGGAUUAGCUAGUUGGUAGGGUAAAAGCCUACCAAGGCGACGAUCCAUAGCUGGUCUGAGAGGAUGAUCAGCCACACUGGGACUGAGACACGGCCCAGACUCCUACGGGAGGCAGCAGUGGGGAAUAUUGGACAAUGGGCGAAAGCCUGAUCCAGCAAUGCCGCGUGAGUGAUGAAGGCCUUAGGGUUGUAAAGCUCUUUUACCCGGGAUGAUAAUGACAGUACCGGGAGAAUAAGCUCCGGCUAACUCCGUG
rnacentral:rRNA from 1 species